UCAAAUUUGGGAAACUGUAAGCAGCAUGACAUGUUUAGAGUGCAGGAUAAGAAUGUCUGCAGGAGUGAAGUGUUCAUAAUCAGGAGAUUAUGCGUGUUCUAUAAUCAGGAGAUUGUGCAUGUUGUAUAAUCAGGAGACGGAAUCUCCUGCAGGCAUUCAAAGCCCACUAACCCAUUUUAAACAAGGGAAGAAAAUGCGUGACUUUCUGCUUUAGAACAACUGCCCUUGGGACAGUACAGAAGAGGAAAUGAAGAAGAGGAAGUCUAGAGGAAGUGGGAACAGUUUAUUGACUAUUACAAUAGUCCAAGCAAAAGAUAAUGAGAACAUAAAGUAGAAAAGGAAAUGUAGGAAUGGAGAAGAAAUAACAAUUUAAAAACAUUUAAGGGAUCCUUCUAACAAAACCCAGUGAUUAGUGGUACAUCUGGAAUGAGGGAUUAUUCCAAGGUUUAUUAUUUAGAUAAUAGGUGACUCAUGCAGAGACUAAACACAGGAAAAACAAUUUUCAGGAAAAAUUAGAAAAGUUGCUAUUUAUACAUGUUAAAUUUGAGUUGUCUAUAACAGAUCUGUCUACUGAUAACAAUUUGGCUAUCGAACUCAGGAGUAAAAUUUUGUCUAAAGAUAAAAGAUGAAAAUUAGAAGUGCCUAAAACUGACAACGGGUCUGGUAUCUAGAUCAUCCAAGGAACUUCCGCAAAUUCAUCAGACUAAAAAGAAGAACCCUAAAUAGAAAAAAAAAAAUGGUCAAAGGACAGGAAUAGGCAAUUAAUAGAAAAGGAAACUCCCAAAUUUCUCAAGCAUAUGAAGAGAUGCUUAAGCUCAUUAGUAAUGUGAGACAUGAAAAAUUAAAAUUGCAAUGGUAUGUUACUCUCUAUCUAGUCUACUGGAUAAAAAUUAGAAAGUUAGACAACAUGAAGUGUUGGCCUGGAUUUGAAGAUGCAGGAAUUUAGAGACUGGUUGGAGAAGCAGGCAAGAGAUGGGCAUUCUGGAGUGCAAUCUGACAGUAUUUGGUUAAAAUUGACUAAAUUAAGUAUAGACACCCCCUCUGGCCCAAUAAUUCUGCUUCUGAAUACACGUGUUGAAGAGAUUCUCACACAUAUCCACAGGGUGCCUGUGCAGCAGUAUUCACUGUGAUAGGAAGUGAGAAGCAGUCUGAGUGUUCAUUGCUGAGGGAAUCAAGGGCAAAAUAUCAUGGAUGCACUCAUGGACAAAUAAGCAGCAGUUUGAAGCAACAACCUAGAUGGAUGUACAGCCAUCAAGAGGAUCUUAAAGUGUGGUCUUUAGUGGAAAAAAAGCAGAAGCAAUGUAUGGGAGACUGAGUAAUUACAUAUAAGCUCACAUCACUAUCUCUUCCACCACUGUCAUCCAUCAUGACUGAUCUGGGAGAUGAAACAGCACAGAUCUAAAGGACGUGGUAAGAAUCGAGAUCACCAGAGAUCAGUAGAUACUUGCAUACUUGCAGGAUUAACACUGUCUGGAUUCCAACGAUCAGCUGAGUAUGUUCAAGAUAAAGCUAUAGUACAUAUUUUAGAUUGGGGAUUGGCAACAAAUAGCUGUAGACUACCUUCUGAGGAAUAAGUGUUUUCACAUGUGUGGGUGUCAUUUCUAAUCCCAGCAUCACAGUCAGGUCCAGAUACCUGUUUCUGAUCUUUGGUCCUAUGCCUAAUCUCCUCCAAGAGUCCUUCCCUGGAUCUCCUAUCUAAGCAAGAUGCUCGAUGCCCACCAAUGAGUACUGCACCAAGUUCAUUUCCACUAGCCUGUGUUACAAUUUGUGUUUCUGUAUGUUUCCCUUACUUGUUAUUCUUUGUCUUCCGCAUUAGACUGAAAGCACUGCCACGGGGACCAUGUCUAGGACAUAGGAGGUCCUUAAUAAAUAUUUCUUGAGUGGAUAAAUGGUGAACCAUAGGGGUGGCAUAAGAGCAAAUAGAGGGUAGAUGAGCACUAAUCCAUUCACCACCCUGUUUAUGGGUGAUGGAUCUUGGAUGGCCUUUUUCAUAGUCAAAACAUACUUUUUAGAUCUGGCUUCUUGGGAUGUAUUCAAGGAUGCUAGCCAUGUUUGAGACUGUAAAUAUGUCUAGUGAAUAGGGCUUCAGGCUGUGUGUGUUUGCCUUGUUUUGCACAGAAUUCGGCACAGCCCCAAGCACAGAUGGGUGCUUCAUAAAUAUUAUGGAAGGAUGAUGACACAAAAGAUUAUUUAAUACCUCUACAUGGGGUGGAGACGGACCUCAGGCCACAAACAUACUUUCAAUGUGUUUUACUUCUGAAAUCAUUUGAACCAAAAUGUUUCAGCAACACAGAUUCAUCUGCAACCACAAAUCAGACACAUUCAGAAUGACAAAGCCCCAAAAGAAUGCCAUUUUCAAGGCUGAAACUGUAUUAUUCUGGGCUAAAUGGAAUCCUUGUUUUAGUGACACUGUAAGAGUAGAAAUUAAAGACACUGAAAAUCUUCCCUUGGGGAGCCACAAUUAUCUGUGAACAAUGAAAGUUUGUCUGAAUAAUUCAUCAGCCUCAAGGGUACAGGCCUCCCCUUAUUCUGGAAUCCCAGGAGUUUAGGCAAGUGUGUCAUUUAAUGGAUCUCAACUGUGUCCUCAGUUGUUAUUAUUCCAGGGCCUGGCAUUUAUGGGCACAUUCCUAUAAUUUUACUAAUUAAAGAAAAAAUAAGCUAUAUGGGAAACCACUGUCAAGGUCGAAAUUUUGAAGCUGCAUUGAUUUUACCUAGGAAGAAAGAAGCUUAUAAAGUGUCCAUCAUGAGAAUCCACCUGGGACCUACACAACAGAUCAAAUACCCAGAACAAAUCACCAAGUCAGAGCCCCACAGAAUUCUGAUUCCCAACCAGCAAGCAUGAAUAAUCCUUUUAAAUGGUCACUUACAUAUCAGAACAGGUCCUUUGUGAAAUUUCUAAGCAAGGCCUCUGGUUUCUGACUGAAACAGAGAUUUAUUGAGAAGGAGGGGUAAAGUGAAAUCAAGAACUACUGGGAAAUUUCCACAAGAAACAAGGACAAAUGGUUUUUGUUGUCAGAAUAAAACCAGCCUCCCCUAGCCAUGGUUUGGAAAGUUAUUUGCUAGCCCACAGGGGACAAUAUUCUCAACUGGUUUAUCAGGGACCCUUUUGAUCCAAUUAUAAUUAUUGGGCAGAUACAGUAGUACCCUAUUAUCAGAAGACCUAGUUUCAAAUCCUGAGUCAAUUUCUAAUUCACUGUGUGACCUUGUACAAGUCACUUAAGCUCUCUGAUCAUUGGUUCAACAUCUUUAAUAUGAGGAGAGUAAUACCUACCUCAAUUACCUCAUAAAAUUAUUGCAAAGAUCAAGUGAGUUGAUAUGUUACAAAUUAUUUCUAAAUUAUAAGAUUCUGUAUAAGUGGAAGGGUUAAAUAUACUCCCAUAUUAUUAAAUACCCUACAUAUCACUCAGGAUCCUAUAUGACUCUGAGUUCUCAAUUUCUAGAAAUGGUCCCAUUUUUGCUUUGUUCCCUACAAUUCUACGGAGUCUUUUUUUUUUUUAAAGGAAGGGUGUAGGCAAAGGUAAAUGGGAGAAAACAUGGAAUCACAUACCACUCUUUGGUGCUGCUAGGCAAGAAUUUUAAACUGAGUUUAGUUCACCAUCGUGGACUUAAGGUCCAUAUCACCUCAGGGAGACAAGUAGAGUGGGAGGCAUCCAAAAGGUAGGUGAUUCUUCUCCCCUCUAGUGAAGAAUACAAGGUCAAUUUACAAAAAAGCACCAGCAGCAAAUAAUUGGAAAAUUAAAUUCAUAAAACAUUCAUAAUAGC
rnacentral:lncRNA from 1 species